UACGUAGGGGGCAAGCGUUGUCCGGAUUUAUUGGGCGUAAAGAGCGUGUAGGCGGUUUGGUAGGUCCGCUGUGAAAACUCGAGGCUCAACCUCGAGACGCCGGUGGAAACCAUCAGACUAGAGUCCGGAAGAGGAGAGUGGAAUUCCUGGUGUAGCGGUGAAAUGACGCAGAUAUCAGGAAGAACACCCGUGGCUAAGGCGGCUCUCUAGUACGGUACUGACGCUGAGACGCGAAAGCGUGGGGAGCGAACAGG
rnacentral:rRNA from 1 species